UAAAACGAGUUCUUAUUGGCUCUUUCAUGUUACGUGUCCACAUCUUCAUUUACUGUGGGCGUCACAUGUCCCCAGUUUCGUUAUACUUUGAGUCCACAGUUUAGUUUCUGAGAGUGUUACCUUAUGACGUAUGCCAACGGUAUAAAAGAAAUGUGAACAUUUUGCUGAGAAGGAGUCGAAGGAAAAAGAGAGAGAGAGAGAGAGAGAGAGAGAGAGAGAGAAAGAAAAAAGAUCGCAGGCUUCGAGCGAUCCAGGAACAGCUCAUGAUCGAGAAGGGUAAAGUCUAAUGCUUACCCAAACCCAAAAGAUUGGGUUAAUCAUCAGCACACUGUGCGUUGUGGAGAGGUGUCUGUUCUUCAUGUGAUCCAUAGGUGUGGAUUUCAUGACAGUCAGUUUGUGAAAUCGCUCUUCAUGGACUUCGAAUCAGUAUCCCUCGGAUGGGAUCUUCAGUAUCCGUUUCUUCGUUCGCUAGCCGUGGAAUCUUUGGAAAUCAUCGUGAUCGCCUCAUCGCUGCAUUGUGAACCCACAAGUCUCUCCUCUCACCUAUUUCGUGAAUUACUGGGACUCUCGGAACUGCCACUUUACGACUGUGCUUGAUGUCCUGAGUAUUGCCUUGUCUUGGGGAAGAAGAGUUUGCCAUGAGGCAAAAAGAAAUCAUAAACAAACUGGAGGAAUAAAAAUUAAUUUAUUCCACCAUUGAGAACAUCUACAUGGAGCACUGUUGCAGGAUAGCAACAUCCAAUCAUCAAGGACCUCUACCACACAAGCCAUUUUCUGUUCUUACUGCUGUCAUCAGGAAGAAGGUACAGGAGCCUCAGGACUCACACCACCAGGUUCAAGAACAGUUGUAACCCUUCAACCAUCAGGCUCUUGAACCAGAGGGGGAUAACUUCACUCAUCCCAUCACUGCACUAUUCCCACAACCUGCGACUCACUUUCAAGGGCUCUUCAUCUCAUGUCCUCAAUAUUUAUUGCUUAAUUACUGUAUUUAGUACUAUUAUCAUUCUCCUGUUUUGUAUUUGCACAGUUUGUCGUCUUUUGCACAUUGGUUGCUUGUCCAUUCUGUUGAGUGAGGUCACUCAUCGAUUCCAUUGUGUUCCUUGGAUUUACUGUGUAUGCCCACAAGAAAACAAACAUGGUGACUCAAAGGUACUUUGAUAAUAAAUUAACUUUGAACUUUGAAAACCCAAGACAACCAUUGUGACAAAAGGAAAGCAGUCUUGGUUACAGAAAAAAAGUUUUAAUUGAAAACAAUAUACUUGAGGUUAGUGUAUAUAUGACAAGGAAAAAUGAUUAGUUACAAUAAUUUGUGCAAAAGUUGACAAUUGUAAGAAAUGCUAUGUGCAGAACAUGAAGUGUUAACAAGGAAAGUGCAUUAAAAUACUGAAAAGUAGGUAACAUUCAUUAGAUGAUGACAGUAAUAACUUCACAUGACAAUGAAGUAAUGAUCAGAAUCUUUUAUAACUAAAGUAAUAAACUACAAAAUCCAUUAAAAACUCAAUGUAGUUCUUGAUAAAGUGGUUAUUCAGACAAAAAAUUCACCAAGGUUGCUGCCAAUGCAAUAUUGCUUAGUCUAAAAGUAAAAGACCCAUUAAUACACAUUUCUUGAACAGAAUAAUGCCUUUCCUUUUUAUGAUAACACCAAAUUAACAAUAUUAUUUGUAUUUUUAAUUUCAAAAAGCCUACAUUUGAUGAACAAUGCACAUAUCUAUUAAGCUUUCGAUGUUUUAUAUAUUAGCAUGUCAUUAUACACUUAUACUAUUCGCAGUUCUGUAGCUGAUUCUGACCUCAGCAACAUGAGAGCAUUAGGUAUAUGGAUUUUACAUACAAGCAUAACUCCAUUCUCAAGAUAGAUGUAUAUUCUUAUCAACCAUACAAUAGAGCUAAAGUAAAAGUAUAUACCACUGUAAACACUAAUAAGACACUUCAUGGUCACACCUUUAUCUUCUUGGCCAGGUAGCA